rnacentral:rRNA from 1 species
GAUGAACGCUGGCGGCGUGCCUAAUACAUGCAAGUCGAGCGAACGGACGAGAAGCUUGCUUCUCUGAUGUUAGCGGCGGACGGGUGAGUAACACGUGGAUAACCUACCUAUAAGACUGGGAUAACUUCGGGAAACCGGAGCUAAUACCGGAUAAUAUUUUGAACCGCAUGGUUCAAAAGUGAAAGACGGUCUUGCUGUCACUUAUAGAUGGAUCCGCGCUGCAUUAGCUAGUUGGUAAGGUAACGGCUUACCAAGGCAACGAUGCAUAGCCGACCUGAGAGGGUGAUCGGCCACACGGGAACUGAGACACGGUCCAGACUCCUACGGGAGGCAGCAGUAGGGAAUCUUCCGCAGUGGGCGAAAGCCUGACGGAGCAACGCCGAGUGAGUGAUGAAGGUCUUCGGAUCGUAAAACUCUGUUAUUAGGGAAGAACAUAUGUGUAAGUAACUGUGCACAUCUUGACGGUACCUAAUCAGAAAGCCACGGCUAACUACGUG